UUAAAAUAUUUUGUAACAGAAUUAACAGAGGAUUUUCUUUAACUAUCACAGCACAAAACUUUCAACUCCAACAGCACACCUGCUGAGACAACGCUGAAACAACAACCAACUCAUGUUCACUUAAAUCUGUGACUUCACAUGCUUACCUGGAACAACAAUGCUGCAGGAUUUAUUACAAGCUUCAUUUGAUUACAGAAGUUUCCCAGAGCUAGUCUGGAUCUCUACUUUCUCGGUUUGCCAUUGGACUGUCCCACAGGGCUCUCCAGUGACGAUUGGACACGGAACUAAUGACCCUUUAACCCGGAUAUACUGGAGAUGGCAGAGCAACCCGGCAUGAGUGGAGGAGAUGACAAGCAGGCAUGCUGAUCUCUUGAUUUGUCUACUUUAAUGAGAGAAGCCACAACUUGCU